UACGUAGGGGGCAAGCGUUGUCCGGAUUUAUUGGGCGUAAAGAGCGUGUAGGCGGCUAGGUAGGUCCGUUGUGAAAACUCGAGGCUCAACCUCGAGACGCCGAUGGAAACCAUCUAGCUAGAGUCCGGAAGAGGAGAGUGGAAUUCCUGGUGUAGCGGUGAAAUGCGCAGAUAUCAGGAGGAACACCAAUGGCGAAGGCAGCUCGCUGGAACGGUACUGACGCUGAGGCGCGAAAGCGUGGGGAGCGAACAGG
rnacentral:rRNA from 1 species